rnacentral:rRNA from 1 species
UACAGAGGUGGCAAGCGUUGUUCGGAAUUACUGGGCGUAAAGGGCGCGUAGGCGGUUCGAUAAGUCCUGCGUGAAAUCCCCCGGCUCAACUGGGGAACUGCGCGGGAAACUGUCGGGCUUGAGUUCGGGAGAGGGAAGCGGAAUUCCGGGUGUAGCGGUGAAAUGCGUAGAUAUCCAGAGGAACACCGGUGGCGAAGGCGGCUUCCUGGACCGAUACUGACGCUGAGGCGCGAAAGCCAGGGGAGCAAACGGG